rnacentral:rRNA from 1 species
GGAAGUAAAAGUCGUAACAAGGUUUCCGUAGGUGAACCUGCGGAAGGAUCAUUACCACGCCGUGGGGGGCUGGGAGCCUCUGACCGGGACCCCUCCGCCCCCCUACCCGGCCACCCUUGUCUACCGGACCUGUUGCCUCGGCGGGCCUGCAGCGAUGCUGCCGGGGGAGCUUUUCCUCCCCGGGCCCGUGUCCGCCGGGGACACCGUAAGAACCGUCGGUGAACGAUUGGCGUCUGAGCAUGAGAGCGAUAAUAAUCCAGUCAAAACUUUCAACAACGGAUCUCUUGGUUCCGACAUCGAUGAAGAACGCAGCGAAAUGCGAUAAGUAAUGUGAAUUGCAGAAUUCCGUGAAUCAUCGAAUCUUUGAACGCACAUUGCGCCCCCUGGUAUUCCGGGGGGCAUGCCUGUCCGAGCGUCAUUGCAACCCUCAAGCGCGGCUUGUGUGUUGGGCCGUCGUCCCCCUCGACCGGCGGGACGUGCCCGAAAUGCAGUGGCGGCGUCGAGUUCCGGUGCCCGAGCGUAUGGGGCUUUGCCACCCGCUCUGGAGGCCCGGCCGGCUCCGGCCCACCAUCUCAACCCCCUCUCACACCAGGUUGACCUCGGAUCAGGUAGGGAUACCCGCUGAACUUAAGCAUAUCAAUAAGCGGAGGAAAAGAAACCAACAGGGAUUGCCUCAGUAACGGCGAGUGAAGCGGCAAGAGCUCAAAUUUGAAAUCCGGCCCCCCUGGGGGCCUGAGUUGUAAUUUGCAGAGGAUGCUUCGGGCGCGACCGCGGUCAAAGGUCCCCUGGAACGGGGCGUCGUAGAGGGUGAGAAUCCCGUCUCCGGCCGGCGGGUUUCGCCCGUGUGAAGCUCCUUCGACGAGUCGGGUGGG